UAGAAAAGAAGAAAAUGCGCGCAACAUGCGCUACCGAAAAAGAUGACCGAAAUGCAAGGGUCAGUCGCACGAUUUCAUAAAUCUGGGCAUCCAUGUUGGAUUCGAAUGUGUGAUUGGUUCUGUGGAGACUUUCAGUUAGUUCGCAGUGGCGAGCAGCGGUUCCUGCAAUAGUGCGUGGUAGUCCAGCUGGUGGCAUGCAAUGAUUCCAAUGGUUGGGAUUGCAUGUCAAGGAAAUUUUUUUUUUCUUUUAUGUUUUAGCAUUUUUAACAUUAUUUUUUGUUUAAUAUGC
rnacentral:lncRNA from 1 species